UACAGAGGUCUCAAGCGUUGUUCGGAUUCAUUGGGCGUAAAGGGUGCGUAGGCGGCGCGGUAAGUCGGGUGUGAAAUCUCGGAGCUUAACUCCGAAACUGCAUUCGAUACUGCCGUGCUUGAGGACUGGAGAGGAGACUGGAAUUUACGGUGUAGCGGUGAAAUGCGUAGAUAUCGUAAGGAAGACCAGUGGCGAAGGCGGGUCUCUGGACAGUUUUCUGACACUGAUGCGCGACAGCGUGGGGAGCAAACAGG
rnacentral:rRNA from 1 species